rfam:Planktothrix tepida PCC 9214 isolate BBR_PRJEB10993 genome assembly, scaffold: BBR_B_PL9214_scaffold46
AGGAGCCGUGUGCGGUGAAAGUCGCAAGCACGGUUUUGAAUGGGAGGUGAGGGUUGCAAGGCUCUCAUCGACCCCUAAU